GCAUUGUCUAAGUAUGAUAUUGCUUUACCAGCUGUGUCCAGUAUAUCCAAAUCUGUUGAAUUACGAAAAAAAAUAUGAUGAUGGUAUUAAAGAAUGCACAAAAGCAUUGGAGCUAAACCUUAACUACAUAAGUGUUUUGCUAAGAAGAGCAGAGGUGUAUGAAAAGUUGUAACAAUUUGAAGAGACUAUAGCAGAUAUGACAAAGGUUUUGGAAGUUGACCCAUCAUAUGAUCAAGCUAGAAGACAGAUUGUUCGCUUGAAGCCAUUAGCAGAUGAAAAACGUCAAAAGAUGAAG